rnacentral:lncRNA from 1 species
UUCUUUUGUGACUGACAGGAAGAAAGCAGGUGAAGAAACUCUAUGAUUGCAGGGCUCCUUGCAGAAGCUUGGCCGACAAAAUUAUUAUUGCAUCUGCUGGACCCAGCACAAAAGGACAGAAGUCCAAGUAAAAUUAAAGGAUCCAGGAAACUGGAAAGGAAAAGUGCUUGCCUUUUUUAAGAUCACUUCCUUUUCCCUUGGAAGGCAGAAAUAAAUAUCCAAUGGGAAUAGGGCAUGAUACAGGUAGAAUCUGAUAAGAAAUUUGGCGAACAUGA